AGAGUUUGAUCCUGGCUCAGGAUGAAAGCCGUUGGCGUGCUUAACACAUGCAAGUCGAGCGAAGCGCUCACGCGGAAUUUUUCGGAAGGAAGCGGGAGUGACUUAGCGGCGGACGGGUGAGUAACGCGUGGGUAACCUGCCCCAUACCGGGGGAUAACGGUUAGAAAUGACCGCUAAUACCGCUUAAGCGCGCGAGGCCGCAUGGCCGCACGCGGAAAACUCCGGUGGUAUGGGAUGGGCCCGCGUCUGAUUAGCUAGUUGGUGAGGUAAAAGCCCACCAAGGCAACGAUCAGUAGCCGGCCUGAGAGGGUGAACGGCCACACUGGUACUGAGACACGGACCAGACUCCUACGGGAGGCAGCAGUGAGGAAUAUUGGUCAAUGGGAGAGAUCCUGAACCAGCCAAGCCGCGUGAGGGAAGACGGCCCUAUGGGUUGUAAACCUCUUUUGUCGGAGAACAAAACCCGGGACGAGUCCCGGACUGCGUGUAUCCGAAGAAAAAGCAUCGGCUAACUCCGUGCCAGCAGCCGCGGUAAUACGGAGGAUGCGAGCGUUAUCCGGAUUUAUUGGGUUUAAAGGGUGCGUAGGCGGUCCGUUAAGUCAGCGGUAAAAUUGCGGGGCUCAACCCCGUCGAGCCGUUGAAACUGGCAGACUUGAGUUGGCGAGAGGUACGCGGAAUGCGCGGUGUAGCGGUGAAAUGCAUAGAUAUCGCGCAGAACUCCGAUUGCGAAGGCAGCGUACCGGCGCCAGACUGACGCUGAGGCACGAAAGCGUGGGGAUCGAACAGGAUUAGAUACCCUGGUAGUCCACGCAGUAAACGAUGAAUGCUGGUUGUCCGGGUCGAAUGAGAUCUGGGCGGCGAAGCGAAAGCGAUAAGCAUUCCACCUGGGGAGUACGCCGGCAACGGUGAAACUCAAAGGAAUUGACGGGGGCCCGCACAAGCGGAGGAACAUGUGGUUUAAUUCGAUGAUACGCGAGGAACCUUACCCGGGCUCAAACGGGAGUGGAAUGGACCAGAGACGGUUCAGCCUACGGGCCGCUUCCGAGGUGCUGCAUGGUUGUCGUCAGCUCGUGCCGUGAGGUGUCGGCUUAAGUGCCAUAACGAGCGCAACCCCCGCCGGCAGUUGCUAACGGGCAAUGCCGAGGACUCUGCCGGGACUGCCGCCGCAAGGCGAGAGGAAGGCGGGGAUGACGUCAAAUCAGCACGGCCCUUACGUCCGGGGCGACACACGUGUUACAAUGGGCGGUACAGCGGGAAGCCAGGCGGCGACGCCGAGCGGAACCCGAAAGCCGUUCUCAGUUCGGAUCGGAGUCUGCAACCCGACUCCGUGAAGCUGGAUUCGCUAGUAAUCGCGCAUCAGCCAUGGCGCGGUGAAUACGUUCCCGGGCCUUGCACUCAACGCCCGUCAAG
rnacentral:rRNA from 1 species